rnacentral:rRNA from 1 species
AGCGAACGCUGGCGGCAGGCCUAACACAUGCAAGUCGAACGGACCCUUCGGGGUUAGUGGCGGACGGGUGAGUAACACGUGGGAACGUGCCUUUAGGUUCGGAAUAGCUCCUGGAAACGGGUGGUAAUGCCGAAUGUGCCCUUCGGGGGAAAGAUUUAUCGCCUUUAGAGCGGCCCGCGUCUGAUUAGCUAGUUGGUGAGGUAAUGGCUCACCAAGGCGACGACCAGUAGCUGGUCUGCGAGGAUGACCAGCCACAUUGGGACUGAGACACGGUCCAAACUCCUACGGGAGGCAGCAGUGGGGAAUCUUGCGCAAUGGGCGAAAGCCUGACGCAGCCAUGCCGCGUGAAUGAUGAAGGUCUUAGGAUUGUAAAAUUCUUUCACCGGGGACGAUAAUGACGGUACCCGGAGAAGAAGCCCCGGCUAACUUCGUGCCAGCAGCCGCGGUAAUAC